CACCAUGGAAACCCAGGGUGAGAAAAGAGAGUUGGCUUGGAAAAAAGUAAUGCAUCAAGAAGAAGGCAGAGGCCCGUAAAAUGGCUGGGGGACCAUCAACACCUUCUCUCACUCCGGCUGAGGAGCUGCCACGGUCCCCUAAACCAGGGGGCAGUUCUGGGGGUAGUUCCAGAGGGCAGUUCAUCAGAGUCAGUUACCUCCCAUGAUAUAAGUGGCUUGGUAAAAUGAUGAAGAUGAAGAGACCAGCUCUACUGUGACAAAGGUACAAAAUGAAGAUGCUGGGACCCCCACAGAGCUGCCUGAAAAGGAGCUGUAUAAGGUUCAUCUUCAAAUGCAAAUUAGAAAAAGUGACCUGGAGAUGGACCUUCUGCAACUUCAAAUGGAGGGAAAAAAGGUGAACAUAAAAAAGGCCAGGCUUGAAACUGAACUGCUGAAGCACUGUCUAACAUUAAGCAAAGUAUUUGCCUAGUGAUGAUAGCCAUUUAUUGCUGAAUGAUAAAGUAAUAAAUACAAAAGUCUUUUUCAA